rnacentral:rRNA from 1 species
GAACGCUGGCGGCGUGCUUAACACAUGCAAGUCGAACGAACCUUCGGGUUAGUGGCGGACGGGUGAGUAACGCGUGAGAAUCUGCCCUCAGGAGGGGGAUAACGGCUGGAAACGGCCGCUAAUACCCCAUAUGCCGCGAGGUGAAACGAAUUUCGCCUGAGGAUGAGCUCGCGUCUGAUUAGCUAGUUGGUGGGGUAAGAGCCUACC